UGUUUCGAAGUUUUUACAUUUGAACGCAUUUACAAAUAUUUUUAACAGCUGAACCACUAAUUAAACAUGGUUGGGACAUUUUACAUAAUGUUACAGAGAAAUGGAUAAGGCACUUUACAUUACAAGAAAUCAACAUUUUCUGGCAACGACGUGCGCUUGUUUACAUUUGGAAACUGCAUUGUAUGAACCUCUAUCAUCAGCUCACUGGAUGGAAUUGAGUCUGUAGAAGUUGGCUUAAGCGGUGACUUCAUCAGGCUGCUGCAGUCUCAGGGGAAGUAUAAAGCCGCACCGUAAGUGAGUAAGUAUUUGAUUGUUACAAAUUGCUUCGCCUAUAUGCUUCCAGAGGGCGUGUCUUUCGGUGUGCGCCUUUCCACCAUUGGCGCACUGGACGGCGGUAAAAUUUCAGAAGGUGACCUGGGAGCGGUCUGAGUAAAUGCCACGUGACGUCAUUAGACUGCUGCAACUGCCAUGAAUCCAGCAUUAGGCCAAUGAGAAGAAGAUUCACCAGUGGCUGUUGUAACUGUCGGACAGGCCUUCGUUGGAUGCUGGAUAUACUGCGGUGCGGAUUUGGCGAGCCAGUCAAAAGGCGAUUCCAGGGGCGGAAAUGUGCAUCGGCAAUGGACGAGGCCCGUGCAGGAGGGAGCAUUACAGCCGGCUCGCUGCGCCCAGCCAGAGGAUUCGCAGCAGGAUAGCUGGCCACCGGAUGGACUACUCGCCUCCGCUUUCGCCGUGGAUUCACCAGGAGGCCGUCAGUAUCUGUGCUGUUUGCCUGUAGAUAGAAGUUUUGGAGUAGCGAUAGGCUGCUGCAGGCUGCGGAGUGGAUUCGGAGAAGUUGCCAGAAAGUCAUUCCGGAUACGCAGGUCAAUCCCGGCAGUAGACGAGGCCCUUAUAGAAGAUGGCGUGGGAGGCCGCUCGCUGCAGGCAGCCAUAGGAAUUACAUUGUCUGUCGUAUGCAACGGCGGCGAUACGUAACUAGCAUAACGCAACGUAACCCAGCUCGAGCCUUGGCCUGAUCCAGCAGGUUAGGGGAGCCAGUGUUACGUUACGCUAUGGGGACUUUAUUGUACAGAAUCUAGCAUUUUAGGUAAAAAUUAUUGGGGUUGUAGCUUAUAUAAAUAUAUGUAAAUAGCUGUCUACGAGCUGCUGUUAGCAGCCGUAGGCAGCAAAUACAA